UGCCCCGUGAUGAGACCCAUCCUUGCGCUACGAGGAUUCGCAGCAAUGCAUGCUGGGAAUGUGAAGGUCACCCGGGGGUUCCCGGGCCCUGCCCAGUGGGGAAGGACCUGGGGUCUGAGGGCA
rnacentral:snoRNA from 1 species